GCCGAUGUAGCUCAGUUGGUAGAGCAGCUCACUCGUAAUGAGCAGGUCGACCGUUCGAUUCGGUUCAUCGGCUCCA
rnacentral:tRNA from 6 species